rnacentral:rRNA from 1 species
UACGAAGGGGGCUAGCGUUGUUCGGAAUCACUGGGCGUAAAGGGCGCGUAGGCGGCUUUGUAAGUCGGGGGUGAAAGCCUGUGGCUCAACCACAGAAUUGCCUUCGAUACUGCAUGGCUUGAGACCGGAAGAGGUAAGUGGAACUGCGAGUGUAGAGGUGAAAUUCGUAGAUAUUCGCAAGAACACCAGUGGCGAAGGCGGCUCACUGGCCCGAUACUGACGCUGAGGCACGAAAGCGUGGGGAGCGAACAGG